ACAAGUGGUGAUGAGAGAAAUCAAUCUAAUUAGCGUGUGUGUUAUUGAGCCAUACAGACCUAAUUUAACAUCUCAUUUUCGGUUUGAUGUGCUGUAAUUCGUUUUUUAGUGAGGAUGACUAAUAUAAUACAGCCGUACAGUCCAGAGAGUAAGUAUGCGUCAACAAGAAAAUGUAUUGGGACAUUUGAAUAAGAAUAUCCUCUGAAAAUCAUUGUUUUGAUUCUAGUGUCACUCUAUAACGCUAAAAGCCAACAGCUGUUCAAACCAAUUCACAGAGCUGGAUCGGCAUCAUAAUUAAUGAGCAGUAAUAAAUAAUCCUUGGAGUGAACUUUUACCCCGGACCUCUUCCCUCUGCAACAUGACCUCUGACCUUUGACCCGGCCAGGUAUCGAUCUUCUGGACGGCACGGUGACGGACUCCGUGGAGGCCACAUCUCUGACCUUCAACAACGACGUCAUUGAUGUGGACGUGUGCUGCUGAGGCCCGCGGGACUACGGACAGGAAAUGGCCGGGGACACUCACACAGAAAGCACUGAGGCUGGGCAAGGGGCGAGGUAGGCAGCAUCUUUGUGUGGGCGUCUGGAAAUGGUGGGUUGGUGAACGAUCACUGUGGAGCAGACGGCUAUAUCAACAGUGUCUACAGCGUUGCCGUUGGGGCUGUCACUCACACGGGCAAGUCCGCCUUUUUAGGUGACAGUGUCCAAUCUAGGGGACGGUUGUGUCACCGACUUUGCGGGGACAUCCAGUGCUGCACCCAUCCCGGCUGGGAUUCUGGCCCUUGUCUUGGAGAACAAUCCUGACUUGACAUGGAGGGAUGUGCAGCAUCUGAUCGCCAUGACAGCCAAGGUCCCCGACCCCAAAGAGCCAGGAUGGAGUAUCAACGGAGCAGGGGCUACAGUGGAGAGGGUCGAAAGUUUCACGUUCCUCUGACUGCACAUCACUGAGGAUCUGAAAUGGUCCCUCCACACCAACACCCUGGCGAAGAAGGUGCAACAGCUUCUCUUCAACCUCAGGAGGCUGAGGAAAUUUUGGCGUGGCCCUUAAGACUACAGAUGCACCAUUGAGAGCAUUAUGUCGGGCUGUUUCACCACCUGGUACGGCAACUGCAUCGCCCGCAACCGCAGAGCUCUCCAGAGGGGGGUGCAGUCUGCCUAAUGCAUCCUUGGGGGCACACUGUCUACCCUCCAGGUCAUCUACAGCACCCGGUGUCACAGGCCAAAGAAAUAAUCAAGGAUCUCAGCCACUCGAUCCACGGCCUGCUUACCCUGCUACCAUCUAGCAGUUGGAGACAGUACAGGUGCAUCAAAUCUGGGACCGAAAUAAUAAUAAAAAACAGCUUCUCCAGACUGUUUAACAGCCAUCACUAGCCGGCCCCACCCAGUACCCUGCC